rnacentral:rRNA from 1 species
AGCCAGACUCCUACGGGAGGCAGCAGUGGGGAAUAUUGCACAAUGGGGGAAACCCUGAUGCAGCGACGCCGCGUGAGUGAAGAAGUAUUUCGGUAUGUAAAGCUCUAUCAGCAGGGAAGAAAAUGACGGUACCUGACUAAGAAGCCCCGGCUAACUACGUGCCAGCAGCCGCGGCAAUACGUAGGGGGCAAGCGUUAUCCGGAUUUACUGGGUGUAAAGGGAGCGUAGACGGCAGCGCAAGUCUGAAGUGAAAGCCCAUGGCUUAACCAUGGAACUGCUUUGGAAACUGUGCAGCUGGAGUGCAGGAGAGGUAAGCGGAAUUCCUAGUGUAGCGGUGAAAUGCGUAGAUAUUAGGAGGAACACCAGUGGCGAAGGCGGCUUACUGGACUGUAACUGACGUUGAGGCUCGAAAGCGUGGGGAGCAAACAGGAUUAGAUACCCGAGUA